GAAGCUUUUUUGCAGGAACAAUCUUCCCUCAACGGUCACCAGCAGGAGUAUACAAGUAUGACUUGGACGAAGCAAAAUACGCAUGUGAACAGCAGGGUGCCACACUCGCCUCCUAUCACCAGCUGUACGAGGCCUGGCAGGACGGGCUAGACCAUUGCGCAUGCGGGUGGCUGACGGACGGUACAGCUCGUUAUCCAACACAGACAGCCAGGUCGGGCUGUGGAUCUAAAGCGGUUAACAACUGUGCUAAACCCAAUGCCGCGGACGCAUGGUGCUUCAAGAAACUCAGCAUUUGUGAUUAAUCAUUAAGGAACACGUUCGCAGGAGGGGCAUCACGAUAUAGAAACGUUUUGUGCUUAGAUUUUGUGUAGUGUAAAAUUCUUGUCAUCCUAUCUGUCUAAAAUCAUUGGUGACUUCCUGACCCUGCAGGUUACAUCUGAUAUUAGCAGACAGACAGACAACAUCCACCGUAGUUAUGAAAUAUGUGAUGAUAUGUUCUCUCGUAGACGAAAAGUAUCGAUUUAUUCUAAAAGAAGACAAUCUUGUGCAUUACAGUAUGUAACUGCUGUAGGACUGGAAACAACAAUAUGGAAAUAGUCGAGGCUGAUUAUCAUGAUACAAUAAAAACUAGAGCUUGGUGA